rnacentral:misc_RNA from 1 species
GAACCUUGAGAAGUCAGCAGAGGUCAUAGUACCUAUCAAAACCUAGGAUAGAUAGGGAAGGAC